GUGGGGAAUAUUGGACAAUGGGCGCAAGCCUGAUCCAGCCAUGCCGCGUGGGUGAUGAAGGCCCUAGGGUUGUAAAGCCCUUUCAGCGGGGAAGAUAAUGACGGUACCCGCAGAAGAAGCCCCGGCUAACUUCGUGCCAGCAGCCGCGGUAAUACGAAGGGGGCUAGCGUUGCUCGGAAUUACUGGGCGUAAAGCGCACGUAGGCGGCUUUCUAAGUCGGGGGUGAAAUCCUGGAGCUCAACUCCAGAACUGCCUUCGAUACUGGAAAGCUCGAGUCCGGGAGAGGUGAGUGGAACUGCGAGUGUAGAGGUGAAAUUCGUAGAUAUUCGCAAGAACACCAGUGGCGAAGGCGGCUCACUGGCCCGGUACUGACGCUGAGGUGCGAAAGCGUGGGGAGCAAACAGGAUUAGAUACCCUAGUAGUCC
rnacentral:rRNA from 1 species